AUAAAGCUUAAUCGAGCGGGUCUGGGAAUUGUGCAGGAGGAGCUAACUGAGGAGAAUUUUGAAAAUUGGAAAAAUUGCUUGAAAAAUUAUUUUGUUGGGAAUGGACUUUGGGGUGUUGUCUCUGGUAAGGAGACUAAACCAGAUAAGAAAAACAAACAAGAGCUUGAAAAAUGGAAGAAAAAAAAUGCUUUGGCUCUGCAUGCAAUUCAACUUUCAUGUAGAUCGGCAAUGUACUCUGAGUUUAAAGGACACAUUUCUGCUCACGAUGUAUGGGUUCAUUUGACUCAUGAGAGAGAUUGGGACGACGACGAAGAAAGUUAUGACAAAGACAAUGGUAAUGUAUCAAUCCUUGUGAUGCAUUAGUUCGUCUAAAAUCUCAUAUUGUUAUAAGAAACAUGAA
rnacentral:lncRNA from 1 species